GAAAUUCCACGUAGGAAAUUUCCACAUUAAAGCUCUCAAUGUUUAUGGAGUGCUAUUUAACAUUAUUAUAUAUAGCCGUGAGGACGUGUAUUUUUUUUUAUAACUGUUAAGAAAAAAACUUUGUCGUUUCCGUUUCCGUUUGUACAAAGUCUACAUUUGUCACCAUGGGCACGGACACGUGAGAUGGCCGGAUUGUAGGAAACACAGUGCAACAUGGGUCAUCCAAGUAGCAGUGCUCGCAGUAUUCCGAUGCUGGCGAUUUUCCUUGCAGCUUUACUUCUCAGCAACAUCUUCAUCUACCUGUAUUUGGACUCCGUGUAUCAAUCUGAAGGCCAAACGGUAACCUCGCAUGUUGGCUGUGUGGCUGAACACUUUAAAAUGACUACGAUGAACAACUGCACCCCAUGGCUCCAGUGUUCCCUGAUUGAUGCAGAAGUUUGCAAGCUGAAGCUCAUUGGCCAGGGAGCAGUGAAGAAGGUCUAUUUAGCAGAAUGGAGGGGCCAGAAGGUGGCUCUGUCCAAACUGUCCUUUUUGGAUUACUCUGAGGAUUUUCUUCACGGAUUGUCUAUGUUAAAAGCACUGCAGGGGCCCUGGGUGGUACAGUUGGUGGGGUUUUGCCUGGAAGACCAUGCCCUGGUCACAGAGUACCAUCCACUGGGUUCGCUACUCAAUUUGAACCUUGUCCUUGCACAAGAGCACCAAAAACAUCGCAACACUUGGAAGACCCGGCUGAUGCUGGCGAUAGACUACGUCUCUGUCCUCCAUUACCUCCACAACAGCCCGGCUGGGCGGCGGGUUAUGUGUGACUCCAAUACGCUGGAGAAAACUCUGUCUCAGUUUCUGCUCACAAAUGACUUUCACCUGGUGGUGAAUGACCUGGAUGCAUUGCCUGAGGUGGACCUAUCCAGGGCCUUGUUGGUCAAAUGUGGCCACCGGGAGCUCAGCGGAGACUUUGUAGCCCCUGAGCAGCGGUGGCCAUUCAAAGACACAGGGCAGCCUUUUUCAGAUGAUCUCAUGCAUGGAUAUGAUGAAAGGACAGAUAUUUGGAAGAUCCCAGAUGUAACACAGUUCUUGAUAGGGAGAGUGCCUGGAGGAGACUUGAUCCACUUCCAUCUUUUCCACAUUCAUAAAGAGUGUAAAGCAGAAGACCCUAAACUCCGCCCUUCAGCCUUGGAUGUAUUGAUGGUCUAUAAGUCAGUUUUUAGCAGUAUGAUCCAAGACAAUGCUGGGUUCAGAGACAUGCUUUAAAAGUAUUAGGGCUGUCUUCGACGAAGGCUUUUCAUCGUCAACUAAUCGUGAAACCCUUUUUUUUGUGGGGAUCCCUACAAAUAAGCAGAGUUUUCCCACCUCAAAUACAAGGGUUAAAGCACUCAGAUGAACAAAUGAACACAGUAACAACAGUACUAGAGAUGCUCUGAUCUGUAUUUGCCGAUUUCAGUAAAAAACAGGUGAUUGGCAUAUGCAGAUAAAUGCUUUUCAAACCCAAUCACAAAAAACAGCAUGCUACGGCAAACCGUACAUGUCUGCUGUGCUAUGUAGGUUGUGCUAUGUAGGAUUGCCAACGCCCAUACUGAGCCGACAAGGGACACACUUUGCCGCGAGAAUCAAAACUAGUCUGUAAAAGCUGUAACUUGUAAAACCUUGUGGCUUCAGUUUGACAGCUUGCCACAGGGUACGCCAGUGCCAGCGUGUUCGAUCACUCCCUUAUCAAACCUAUUGCCGUUCCACUUUUCUUGCAUCUUUGUUUACAUGCUUAGUUAACCACCUAGCUUCUGUGACUUUUUACCACAGUAGCAUUUUGUUUUUAAAACAAGCAAUGCGGUUAGUUUGGAGCUCAUUUUUGUCCCACGGGGAAGUGGAUAUCACGUUCAUGGGGUAUGUACUAACUUUUUCAAAUGUCACUGAACAAUUUUGUUCUCGUGUUGUCAUUAUAUUAAUUGUAUCUUGUCCUCAAAACAUUAUUUGCGGGUGGUUGUUUAAUGAACAUAAACAGUGUGUGUCCAGCCUUAUAAUGGUGAAACUAUCACAGGGGUCUCCUAAACUCGCCAGCUGAUUUUGAGUUGCUCACCAAAGGGUCAAAGAAUAUUUGCCUGGUAAAUAAAGUAGUGUACAAUUGAAAUGUAGCCAUUCAUAAAUAAAACACAACUACUUGAGAGCUCUAAUAAUGAUGAAAAUUGGAACCUGGACACUCAAUUUAUUCUGUUUUAAGUUAAGCAGCAAAAAAAACACCAUUGUGCCCAAGUUUAUUUUUUAAUAAUUACCUAUUUGCUAGGGCACUUGGAAUUGAAAUAUCUACUGUAACUCCAUGUGAUUGGUAUCGGCCGAUCUCACUCAUGGAUGAUCGGAAUCGGCAGCAUAAAACCCUCAUCGGAGCAUCCUUAAACAGUACCUUUUAUUUAUAUAUAUAUAUAUAUUUUUACACAGAAAGAAAACUGAAACCAGGCUUCUUUUGGCAAGUUGGCAUAUCACACAUAAGAAAAGUGCACAUAAAAUAGGAACAACAUGGCUUGGAAAAACAACGACUUGCCAAAACUCAGUUAGCAGCCUCAUUUCUUGGAUUAAAAUCCACAGUGGGGAUAUAAAAUGAAGUAGGUGUAACAGCCUUACCCGUUUUAAAUGAUACACCAUGUUGGUUGUCAUGGUGUGAUAUGUAAGAAGCUGCUGACGCGGUUGCACUUUACUUUCUUUUGCUUAUCUUUAACCUUUUCACAAUGCUUCCACAUUUUGGAUGACUUUUUUUUUUUAGUAGCCAAUAUGAGCCAAUAAGUCUGUCGAUGUUGACGGUCAUCUUAGUGCUCACCUCAGCACCUUUUCAUUGUGCAACUGCAGCAGGUGAUUUUAUUCAUGUGUAGUGAUAGAGGUUUUCUCUUACAGAUAAACACAUGUCAUUUUCAAUUCGUUAUUGACACAAAUUAGGCUGAUUUUGUACCAAAAUAGGCUAACAAAAACAAACACAUUCAUUAUGAUCGUCAUAGAUGUUAAUGGAAUAAUUGGAAUAUACUAAUUCAUAAUGAUGGCAAUAAAUCUGUAUAAUUUCACUGGUUUCUUGCUUUUCUUAUUUCGUGCAGGUUUCUUCCAGCCACAGCUAGAAGUUACAAAAUGUACAAACCAGUUUUAUGCCAGUCAAGUACACUCAUCAGUAAGCAACAUUAUGAACAUUUACGUUAAAAAUCAUAUACAAAUUUAUUUAUUUAUUUUCUCAAGGUAAUCGCAAUCUCAGAAACUUGGAUUAACGUCGACAAAGGCAUGGAUUUAAUGAUCUGCAUUAGCGGGAAUAAUACAAGUGGAGGAGGAGUGGCAGUGUACUUGGACAAACAUCUGAACUACAAAAUGCUAUUCCAGCUGGCUCUGCAACAGUUUGUGACGAAGCAAAGACGUUGAAUGCUGAAGCGGCAUACCAAGCAUUAGCGGAAGGAGGC